rnacentral:rRNA from 1 species
GACGAACGCUGGCGGCGUGCCUAAUACAUGCAAGUAGAACGCUGAAGGAGGAGCUUGCUUCUCUGGAUGAGUUGCGAACGGGUGAGUAACGCGUAGGUAACCUGCCUGGUAGCGGGGGAUAACUCUUGGAAACGAUAGCUAAUACCGCAUAAGAGUAGAUGUUGCAUGACAUUUGCUUAAAAGGUGCAGUUGCAUCACUACCAGAUGGACCUGCGUUGUUUUAGCUAGUUGGUGGGGGAACGGCUCACCAAGGCGGCGAUACAGAGCCGACCUGGGAGGGACAACGGCCACAAUGGGGCUGAGGAACGGCCCAGGCUUCCACCGGAGGCAGCAGUAGGGAAUCUUCGGCAAUGGAGGGAAGGCUGACCGAGCAACGCCGCGUGAGUGAAGAAAGGUUUCGGAUCGUAAAGCUCUGUUGUAAGGGAAGAACGAGGGUGAGAGUGGAAAGUGCACACUGUGACGGUAUCUUACCAGAAAGGAACGGCUAACUACGUG